rnacentral:lncRNA from 13 species
UGAGGAGGUGGGCGAAUAAUUACAAUUUUGCAGAUUAACACUGGAGUGAUAAAUGAUCAGAUGGUCAUGUACAGGUAGAGAUAUUGGUGUGCAAAAGAGCAGAAAAGUAAAUAAAUAAAAACAGUAUGGGGAUGAGGUAGGUAAAUUGGGUGGGCUAUUUACCGAUGGACUAUGUACAGCUACAGCGAUCGGUUAGCUGCUCAGAUAGCAGAUGUUUAAAGUUGGUGAGGGAGAUAAAAGUCUCCAACUUCNNNNNNNNNNAGAGUGUAGAGGACUGUAUAAUGAUGAGAGUGUAGAGGACUGUAUAAUGAUGAGAGAGAGUGUAGAGGACUGUAUAAUGAUGAGAGUGUAGAGGACUGUAUAAUGAUGAGAGUGUAGAGGACUGUAUAAUGAUGAGAGUGUAGAGGACUGUAUAAUGAUGAGAGUGUAGAGGACUGUAUAAUGAUGAGAGUGUAGAGGACUGUAUAAUGAUGAGAGUGUAGAGGACUGUAUAAUGAUGAGAGUGUAGAGGACUGUAUAAUGUUGAGAGUGUAGAGGACUGUAUAAUGAGUCGGACGUCCUUGGGACCCCAGAUAGCAGGGGGUUGCUGAAUAAACAUGCCCUCUGGCUUGUGAACAAACUCUACUAUCACGCUGGCGCACACACACACACACACACACACAUACACACACACACACAGUAUUAUUAUCAGGCCUGAAACAAAAGGGUCCCAGGAACAAACACAGUAUUCACAGUGACAUCUGAGACUCACCAAACCCCCGUGGAAUUUAGAUGUUGGGGCAACAUAACAGGGGUUACAUCAAGUUUGCUGUGCCGCAGUGAACAAACCAAAGGUCAAAGGUUAACUCCUGUGCACAAAUCACAGACCUAGUUAGUUAGUUAGUUACAGACCAUUAGAACUGUGUGCCAAAAGCAGUAGAGGAAAACACGGUCAAAUGAUGUCUGCAUCCUAAACACCACC